rnacentral:rRNA from 1 species
UACGUAGGCAGCAAGCGUUGUUCGGAGUUACUGGGCGUAAAGGGUGUGUAGGCGGUUCCUUAAGUUUGCUGUGAAAUCUCCCGGCUUAACCGGGAGGGUGCGGUGAAUACUGAGGGACUAGAGUACGGAAGAGGCGAGUGGAAUUCCUGGUGUAGCGGUGGAAUGCGCAGAUAUCAGGAGGAACACCAAUAGCGAAGGCAGCUCGCUGGGACGUUACUGACACUGAGGCGCGAAAGCGUGGGGAGCGAACAGG